UACGGAGGGUGGCAAGCGUUAUCCGGAUUCACUGGGUUUAAAGGGUGCGUAGGUGGGCAGGUAAGUCAGUGGUGAAAUCUCCGGGGCUUAACCCGGAAACUGCCAUUGAUACUAUCUGUCUUGAAUACCGUGGAGGUGAGCGGAAUAUGUCAUGUAGCGGUGAAAUGCUUAGAUAUGACAUAGAACACCAAUUGCGAAGGCAGCUCACUACACGAAUAUUGACACUGAGGCACGAAAGCGUGGGGAUCAAACAGGA
rnacentral:rRNA from 1 species